rnacentral:rRNA from 1 species
UACGUAGGGUGCGAGCGUUGUCCGGAAUUAUUGGGCGUAAAGGGCUCGUAGGCGGUUUGUCGCGUCGGGAGUGAAAUCCACUGGCUUAACUGGUGGCUUGCUUUCGAUACGGGCAGACUGGAGGUAUGCAGGGGAGAACGGAAUUCCUGGUGUAGCGGUGAAAUGCGCAGAUAUCAGGAGGAACACCGGUGGCGAAGGCGGUUCUCUGGGCA